UUAACUUAUUUGUUUGUGACUCAGACAAUAUAAAAAUCAAGAGUUUAGGGUCCUCUGGCAGGCGCAGACCAGCCUAGGCCAGUGGUCAUAAGACGGGCCUGCCAAAGCAACAAAGGUAAUAUAAACAAAGGGUGGGAGAUCUACCCCGGAGGGCAAUUUUCUCUGUAAUGAUCCUUCCGCAGCGGAAAUAUAGCGGCAAUUUCUAGCAGCCUCCCGAUCAUAUCUUAAACCCUACACUGGGGGCCACCUCCAUUUGACCUGUGAGCCUAUUGCUAGGCUGCUGGUAUUGCAAAUGUAAAUCCCAGCACAGUGGAGAUGUUGCCUGCUGAUACAGACUUUCUAUUCUGGCGAACCUGGAAGAGAUGUUCACCUACGGAAA
rnacentral:misc_RNA from 1 species